ACGCUCGACACCUACGGGAAGCAGCAGUGGGGAAUAUUGCACAAUGGGGGGAACCCUGAUGCAGCGACGCCGCGUGAGUGAAGAAGUACUUCGGUAUGUAAAGCUCUAUCAGCAGGGAAGAAAAUGACGGUACCUGACUAAGAAGCCCCGGCUAACUACGUGCCUGCAGCCGCGGUAAUCUGAGCGGGCUGGCAAGGC
rnacentral:rRNA from 1 species